rnacentral:rRNA from 1 species
GAUGAACGCUGGCGGCGUGCCUAAUACAUGCAAGUCGAGCGAACGGACGAGAAGCUUGCUUUUCUGAUGUUAGCGGCGGACGGGUGAGUAACACGUGGAUAACCUACCUAUAAGACUGGGAUAACUUCGGGAAACCGGAGCUAAUACCGGAUAAUAUUUUGAACCGCAUGGUUCAAAAGUGAAAGACGGUCUUGCUGUCACUUAUAGAUGGAUCCGCGCUGCAUUAGCUAGUUGGUAAGGUAACGGCUUACCAAGGCAACGAGGCAUAGCCGACCUGAGAGGGUGAUCGACCACACGGGAACUGAGACACAGUCCAGACACCUACGGGAGGCAGCAGUAGGGAAUCUUCCGCAAUGGGCGAAAGCCUGACGGAGCAACGCCGCGUGAGUGAUGAAGGUCUACGGAUCGGAAAACUCUGUUAUUAGGGAAGAACAUAUGUGUAAGUAACUGUGCACAUCUUGACGGUACCGAAUCAGAAAGCCACGGCUAACUACGUG